rnacentral:rRNA from 1 species
GCAAGUCGAACGGCAGCACGGGAGCAAUCCUGGUGGCGAGUGGCGAACGGGUGAGUAAUAUAUCGGAACGUGCCCAGUCGUGGGGGAUAACGCAGCGAAAGCUGUGCUAAUACCGCAUACGAUCUCUGGAUGAAAGCGGGGGACUCGCAAGGGCCUCGCGCGAUUGGGGCGGCCGAUAUCAGAUUAGCUAGUUGGUGGGGUAAAAGCCCACCAAGGCGACGAUCUGUAGCUGGUCUGAGAGGACGACCAGCCACACUGGAACUGAGACACGGUCCAGACUCCUACGGGAGGCAGCAGUGGUGUUUUUGGUCGAUAGGCGCAAGCCUGAUCCAGCAAUGCCGCGUGCAGGAUGAAGGCCUUCGGGUUGUAAACU